GGUCGCCUGAUGUAGUGGUUAUCAUAUUCGCUUUACAGUACACUCGUACAAUUACGCGAAAUGUCGCCGGUUCGAUCCCGGCGGUGACCU